AUACGGGGGGAGCAAGCGUUGUCCGGAAUUACUGGGCGUAAAGGGCGUGUAGGCGGCUUGAUAAGUUAGAUGUGAAAGCCUUCUGCUUAACGGAAGAAUUGCAUUUGAUACUGUCAGGCUUGAGUUCGAGAGAGGGUAGUGGAAUUCCCAGUGUAGCGGUGAAAUGCGUAGAUAUUGGGAAGAACACCAGUAGCGAAGGCGGCUACCUGGCUCGUAACUGACGCUAAUGCGCGAAAGCGUGGGGAGCAAACAGGAUUAGAUACCCUAGUAGUCC
rnacentral:rRNA from 1 species